UGCAGUUGGUGAUAUCUCAUCUCAAAGGAGAUGAGUUGAUGAAAACAAACCUUUUUUUUCGUAGGGGUUUUCUUUGUUUUUUAACGCCAUUAUUCUUGGCAUAGGGAUAGCGAAAUCAGAUUGUACAAGACUAUGUAUGUGGAUUAGGGAAGUAAAAUGGCGGAGUGCCCGGUGAACAAGCCAAGUUAUAUGUCCCUGGGGCUGGGUCCGAAGGAUGUUGCUCUUAAAAUAUGCCAUACCUUCACGAAGGUUCCUGGAUGAGGUUGGACCUAUGAAUGUUGAGGUCAAGCAAUGGAAAAUUACUCAUCAUAGAAAACGGAUUAGGAAACCAACUACAAUGAACUCCCUGAAAAUGUGUAUUUUCGAAUUUUUAGAUGUUUACAUUAUACUAUGUGAAGCACUUUUCUUUGUCUUUUUUUUGUAUUGUAUGCCAGAAGAAGUGUUCCCGGCACUAUAUAUCUGGAAGUUUGAUAAAGCCUAU